rnacentral:lncRNA from 1 species
AACAUGGGCUGUGAAGACUGGAUUGUAGGCUGUUAAACAUGAAAUCAUAUUCAUCAGUACAGUCUGCUCACUAGGUCCAGGAGAAGACCAUCUACAGCACUUGCUCCUAAUAUUCUCAGUGUUUUGAGAGCAGUAGACCCAGAAGGAUCUAUUAGGGAUAUUGUGAUGUUCCUGACUCCACUCCCAUCAUUACAGAGAGCUGACCACCAUCUCCUACUGCGCUAGUCAGGGAGUCCUGCAGGAUCCAGAGGAGAUUGGGGUGAUAACGCAGACUCCACUCUUCCUAUCAUCCCUGCACAGCCAACCUUCAUCUCAGGAAGAGAUCACGUGUGCACUUUCACAGCUGUGCCUGGAGCCACUGCAUGGUUCAUAGGGAAGUGGGGCAUCAUGUGGGGCUUUCGGUCUUCAACCAUUUCUUCAUUAGUAAAUAUUCUUGCCCAAUGCUACAUGGGUCAUGUCACGUAUUUCCAAUUAAUUCAACAGGGC